rnacentral:rRNA from 1 species
CACGUAGGGGGCGAGCGUUGUCCGGAUUUAUUGGGCGUAAAGAGCUCGUAGGCGGCUCGGUAAGUCGGGUGUGAAAACUCUAGGCUCAACCUAGAGACGCCACCUGAUACUGCUGUGGCUAGAGUCCGGUAGGGGAGCAUGGAAUUCCUGGUGUAGCGGUGAAACGCGCAGAUAUCAGGAGGAACACCAGUGGCGAAGGCGGUGCUCUGGGCCGGUACUGACGCUGAGGAGCGAAAGCAUGGGGAGCGAACAGG